UACGGGGGGGGGCAAGCGUUGUUCGGAAUUACUGGGCGUAAAGGGGUGCGUAGGCGGCCUAUUAAGUCAGGGGUGAAAGACGGUAGCUUAACUAUCGCAGUGCCUUUUGAUACUGAUGGGCUUGAAUCUACUUUGAGGUAGGCGGAAUGUGACAAGUAGCGGUGAAAUGCAUAGAUAUGUCACAGAACACCAAUUGCGAAGGCAGCUUACUAAAAGUAGCAUUGACGCUGAGGCACGAAAGCGUGGGGAUCAAACAGG
rnacentral:rRNA from 1 species